GGGUUGUGAGGUUAAGCGACUAAGCGUACACGGUGGAUGCCCUGGCAGUCAGAGGCGAUGAAGGACGUGCUAAUCUGCGAUAAGCGUCGGUAAGGUGAUAUGAACCGUUAUAACCGGCGAUUUCCGAAUGGGGAAACCCAGUGUGUUUCGACACACUAUCAUUAACUGAAUCCAUAGGUUAAUGAGGCGAACCGGGGGAACUGA
rnacentral:rRNA from 1 species